UCUUCAGGUUAGUGUUUUGUCACCUGUUCAUUUACCCUCCUACUUCCCAUCCAGCUUUACAGUAACUUAUAGAUACGGAAAUGGGCAUGCUGUAUGCUUACGAUGCCACUCAAAAGUGAUUGCCAUUACUCAGUGGAACUGAGGAACACCUGGGUGACCAAAUCAGUCCUGAGUAUCAGGCUGGCUUAUGUCCAAAUGGUUUGGCUCUGGCCCCAAUGCCCCCGUUGAGUUGUGAACACCUGGCCUUGUUCAUACACCAUAACACUUGAAGAAAACUGAUCUUGGU